GAAGAACCGCUGAAAAAGGCAACUUAUUUAAUGGUUACUGGUCAGCAGGAUAACCGAAGAAUCCUCAUGAUUAAUGUUUUUAAUUAUUUAAAAUACUUUCUAGAAAACAACAAAAUUAAGAAAAUUAUUAAUAAAAAAACACAUCACAUUUUCCUCUCUGUUCUCUAUAAAUUGGCAGACAAGGGUGGUGUUGGGGUCUGCUUUGAUAUUUGUUUUUUAGUUUUUCCUCUCUACAAAACCGUAAUUAAAAACCCCACAACCUCUCCAUCUUUCGUUGCAUUCACGUUUCAACAGGCUCCCUUCUAUAUCGCCCAUUUAAUAGCUUUGAACCAGUUUCUCAAGUACAAAAACGUCGAUGGCCGUUGAAGCUCACCAUUUAAAUCAUCUAUAUUCUUCUAAUAACAGAGAAAGGAUGAAUCCCGUUGAAGCCAACGGUUUAGUCUAUAACACCCAAAUGAGAUAUAACACUGUUCAAGCGACGACAGUGUUAAUCGAUACGCGUUAAGAACACGCAUGUGUUGUCCCUUUCUUAUCAAGGAAACGCAAAUUAUAAUUUUAUAUAGAAGUAUAUAAGUAUUUGACUGCCUCCAUUCCACCCAACACCAUCACCACAGCCCAUUCGUAUUUAAAUAGUUUUUCUUGGUUAUAAAAUACUCCCUCCGUUCCUAAAAAAUGUAUGUUCUGGAAAAAAAAUUUGUUUUAAAAAGAUACAUUUUUUACUUUUUCAAUGUAUGAUUUUAUGAAAAAUUGUAAGUUUCAAAAAAAUUAAUAGUGUUUAUUGAAAUUCUAUUGACUUAAAGUUAUGGAAAAUUGUUAUUUAAUUACAAAAAACAAUGCAUAUUUAACGAAUUUUCUUAAUAUAUGUGAAAAAUCUAGAAUAUGCAUCUUUUAAAAACAGAGGGAGUAAUGUAUUGUAUUGCAAAAAAUAAAAUAAAAUACUUUAUUGCAAUGUCAAUAUGUUUGGUUAAGUCAUUCAAUGCUGUAUUUAUAUGCUAUCAUGCAAUCAACCACGGCAUCUUUAAGUAACAUGAUAAGGAUUAUGAACUCGUAGGAAGUUUGACUGGGAAUAAAUAUUUAACUUUAUUUUUAAUGUAACGUUACUAAGUUAAUACGCUCCUAAAAUGUAAUGUAUAGGAUGGAAAAAAGUAGAGCGAGGCUUCGAAGAACGAGGGACCGUUUCUGAAGCAUGUGAAAAUGUAGCUAGUUCACGUUCUCUCAUAACCCCAACUUUUAAAGUAGAGAUUAUUAAGUUUUGUCUUCUUACAUCUUUUUGAAUGCAGAGUUGUUGAUAUAUAAAAACAAAUGUUGUUAAACAAAAUCAAAUGGUGAAACAUUUAUAUCAACAGGAAGCGAUCGAAUGAAAUUUACCGCUAGGACAGCACUGU